ensembl:lncRNA
CCCCCCCCCCGGCACAGGGCCGCCGCGUGCGGGCGGAGCCCGGGGCUGGGGCCGGGGAACGUAACGGGGUUUAGUUAAUUAAUCACUAAGCCGACACGGCGGCGUCACCGUGGCCAUUGCUUGGCGUGCGGGGCAGCCGGCAGAGUCCAGCGCGGCGGCGGCUGGUGUCCGGCCUGCUGAGGACCAGCUAACUCAUCGCAGCUGGGGCGUGGGGGGGGGGGGAUGGAACCGCGAUGGGAGCUAAUUAACAACGCUGCAUGUCAUUAGCGCAGUGCAUCGGUUCACUUGACUCCCUGCGCACAGCUGGGUGUUGCCCAGGCGCGGUGGCCCUUGGACUCCAAUGAGACUCCUGCUCAGAUGGAAACAUCGACACAGAGAGAGGAGAGACUUUCCCAAGGAUAUGCAGCAGGCUGUACAUGGGUGCAAGGGUCUACUCAGCCAAGUCUCAGCUGGUGUCAGGAAUCUGCUCCCUGCAGUUUAUUACCCAGCCUUGGUGAAAACUCUCUCCAGCCGAGCGGUGACCCCUUUCUUCACCAGCCAGUUCACUUCGACGAGUGGGUAAACACUAGUAUCUGUUCAAGUCAACAAGCUGUUACCUCCACCUCCUGGUUGGGAAGAUUCAUCCUAACACCAGGCAGACCAGUCCCACUGCAGCGGGUGUCAGAGUGCUUUAUUAAAGGCCUGAGCUCAAUACAGACCCGACAUAAAAGGAUGCAACUCGGCUGAAGUCCCUGCCUAUCCCUCUUCUCCAGCUAGUGCUCCAGCUCUGCUCCAUGGGUGACAGUGUAACAGUCCUUCUGGCUGCUACCACCAUUGAAAGCACUUUGAUGAUUAGAUCUGCUCUGUGGAGAGGGUGAAGAAGCCUGUAAUUACCAGGAAAGGGAUCUUCUAGCACUGUGAUGGAGUCUAUGCACCCUGCUUAGCAGACAGCAGGGAAGAGGUUAACUCUUUCACUCACUUUUUCUCGUGGAAGGAGAGCUGCAGGGAGCCACUCCCCCAGGAAAACCUCUCGGUGCUCAGGGAUUAUCGGGGAUCCAGGGGGGCAGGGCUAGCCCAAGUUGUAGAAAAUGGUCAUCCUUCUAGACACUACAAGAUGGAUGUGUUUGGACUUUGGGAUCAGCCCACACUAGGGGUACAUCUACACCACAGAUUCCAGUGUAACUGUACUGCAGGUAGGCACACCUGUGCCAGCUUGAAUUUAGCCAGCACAGCUACAACUAGUGACGAAGAUAUGGUAGCAUGGACCCUGGGACGGACUAGCACAAUUCACGUACGUUCCCAGUGGGCCGUACAGAGGUGGCUUAGAGCCCUUACGGAACCCUGCCGCCUUGUCGUCACUACUAUUCCUACCUGCGUACACUCAGUUAAAACUAAUAUAGUUAUGCCUCCCUACUCUGCAAACCCACCUUAAUUUGCAGUGUAGACGUGUCAAGCGUUAGUUCCUUGUCGGGCUGCUUCAUGAACCUAUCUGAGCACAUGAGCUGUGCAAAGCCACUCCUUUGUUGAUUUGGUUGAGAGACCUGGGCAAAAGGAAGCCCCUUUCCAAACUUUUUGGUGUUGGUAACUCCCUUAGCUGUCUGUGAACAUUGUCCUGGCUCUGUAAAGCCUGAGGCAUUUAGGGUGAAGGGGGUGCUCAAAAAAACCGUAUAGACAGAUAGAUUAGGGCUGUUGAUUAAUUGCAGUUAAAUCACGCCAUUAACUCAAAAAAAAUUAAUUGUGAUUAAUC